CUACCCUUGACAUGUCAGGACGUCCGCUGAGAGGUGGAUGUGCCCGAAAGGGAACCUGAACACAGGUGCUGCAUGGCUGUCGUCAGCUCGUGUCGUGAGAUGUUGGGUUAAGUCCCGCAACGAGCGCAACCCUUGUCAUUAGUUGCUACAUUUAGUUGGGCACUCUAAUGAGACUGCCGGUGACAAACCGGAGGAAGGUGGGGAUGACGUCAAGUCCUCAUGGCCCUUAUGGGUGGGGCCUCACACGUCAUACAAUGGCGGAUACAGAGGGUUGCCAACCCGCGAGGGGGAGCCAAUCCCAGAAAGUCCGUCGUAGUCCGGAUCGGAGUCUGCAACUCGACUCCGUGAAGUCGGAAUCGCUAGUAAUCGCGGAUCAGCAUGUCGCGGUGAAUACGUUCCC
rnacentral:rRNA from 1 species